rnacentral:misc_RNA from 1 species
CCAGGUGCCGGCUCCGGUCUCAGACCGUCGAGAGGCAUUCUAAACCCUUUGUGAACCAAAAAACCCUUCGCUUCGGCAGCGGCUAGGUCGGAAACGACCUCAGCGUCAGCCUGCCGCUAGCACCAAACAUCAAAACUUGCAGUCAAAAACAUUGUCUGAUGACCAAAUUUUCGAAUGAAAAUUA